rnacentral:piRNA from 1 species
AGGACAACAGUGGUAGAUUCAUA